AAAAUUAAGAUGAAACCUCUCUUUGUGCAACUUGUACCUGUUGCUGCUUGCCUGCUCCCUAUGUCUCCCUGUGAAGAGAGAAUCUCCAUCUUUUUUGCAGCCGUACAUGUACCUGUAUGAUUUGACCAGGGUUUGGGCAAUAGGUGUCCAAUUCUUGCUGCUUUCGCAGAACCCGCUGCUGUGGGCACGGCCAAGGACUUUGACACACGCCUCUUCUACACACUGUUGAAUGUUAUUUGCCCCCGGCACAUUCCUUAGCUGUGCAAUGCAACAGUUAUACUUUGUCAUCUGUAGUAUUUCCACCCUAGAAUAUCAAUUUACAGCCCUGCAUUACAGCCUGUCCUCAAAAAGCAAGAAGUGAAAGGAGAGAAGUUAUAUAACUGGUCUGGUGCUGCAGAGCCAGCCAGCCACCAGCAGGAUUGCAUUGCAGGGAUUCCCGCCUUCCAAAACAUCCCCUUCUUCCCCAAAAGUCCUGCUACCUCAACCUCUAAGGCAAUUUACACGCUUUGUCUUAAAACCAGACCACCUUUAUGACUGUGGUGCUCUGCAUCCACCGCUGGAGGGAAACUGGAGGGAUAAAGCUCAGGUAUUUUGGAAGCAUCACGCAGGCAGCCACCUGGCUGCCUUCCAGUUUGCUCUUCCUUUGAGUGUGCUCACUGUUUCUCAUAUAUAAGACUGCUGAUCCAUCAGUUAAUCAUAUUGAUGGUUAAGGUUUGGGCUAGAGAAGAUAAAUUCCUCUGACCCAUGACAGAAGAAGAAGAUGGAAGAACUAAUGAGACUGCCUGGCUGUGCUCAAGGGUAUCCAGGCCACUGGGGGUGAAGAGGACAGAACAUGCAGUCCCCUCCUAGAUGGAGAGGGUCUUGCUGCUCUGCAGCUUCCAAGCUCAGAGCCUGUGGUACACUUGGACUUAGGGUAUCAGUUUAUUCUCUAAUGUACUUCCUCAAGAUAUCCAGAAAGCCCAGAAAAUACUCUUUUUUGCCAUCUGUACUCCUCAGAGACUUGCAUUAACGAAAUGAAAAUCCAGUAGCAGAAGAUCUGAAGAGGAGAGAUCAGAAUCUGGCCACUGCUUUCACUCUCAAAGGAACUUUCAUGAAAGCAUUAUAUGAAAGUCGGCAUUAAGCAUGAUCUUUAACUAGUAGAAUGCACUGAUAAAAGAAUCCAGCGAUCUAAAAAGGGUCAACUUGGUCAUUAUUGCCUAGUAGGUAUAUAGGCAAAAGUGCUGACCAACCUUUGAAAUGAUAAUAAGUUUCUUUUGUCAUGGACAAAGCUUUUCACCUUAAAUAGACAGGAAGUCUUCUAACACAGUAGAAUUUUAAUAAAGCUUAAUCUGGAACAAAACCAA